rnacentral:misc_RNA from 1 species
UUACUGUUCUUGACCGGUUGAACUAUCUCCGGCUUGAUUCUAACUGGUUUAACGGUUCGAUUCCGCCGUUGAACCAGACCCAACUCCAAAUUUUCAAUGUAUCUAAUAAUAACCUCACUGGUCCAGUACCUGUUACUCCAACUCUGAAGAAAUUUAACGUACGGUCUUUCUUACGGAACCCUAAUCUUUGUGGCGAGGUUGUUGAUAAGCCGUGUCGUUCGGCUCCAUUCUUUGAUUCACCUUCCUCUGCUGCCUCUCCGCCCACACCGUUAUACCAAAACGCACAGUCGCAGGGUAUUCUUAUUACUCCUCCACCUCAG